GUUAUAAGACAUUUUCUGCUUUGUAAAGACGCUUACCACCAGUAGCUAUCAAAAGGCAAACGGAGACUUAAUCGUCUGCAAUGCAACGUUCUGUAUAAACAGCCUUUCUCCUGUACGAAAGAUUAAAAAAAUUCAGAAAUGCAGCAGGUACGUAAGAAUUGGACGCGGUAGGUAUUGUGCUGUGUUAUUGGUUUUGGUUGCAGUGUGUGUAUGUGCAUCAAUUCAUGUCCUAACCAAUUAUUUUCUCAAAAAGAAUAAACACAGGUAAGGUAAGUUGGUUGCUUGCCUUUAUAUAUGACGUUAAUAAUGUUAAUGAAAAUAUGUUGGUGUUUUUGGAAAUGGUACGCUGUUCCUCCUUUUUCCUCCUUUUAUAACCAUGUCAGCUGUUCAACCCUGAAGCAAUGAUACGUAUCCUUUUUAGAUAGUUUUCUUAUAGAAUCAUUUUAAAUGUAAAUCAAAGCACACACUCCCAAACCUACAACUAGUCUCCCAACGUCUUCUGGCACGGAGACUACAGUCGAAACAUCUUCCGUACCACCCAAUACAGAACCAACUGUCACUAGUAUUGUGACGUCAAUUGAGGUAAAUCAAACGGAGACCACACCUGAGCCAGUAAACGCCACCACCACAGGACCAUCUACAGCAGACUGUCAAAAUAAUCCAAAUAUUGAUUGUCGAAUGUACAAUUUGGAAGUAACUUGUGACAUCAAUGGAAAGUACUACCCCUGGGCCAAAACCAACUGUCCGUUAUAUUGCGGAUAUUGCCAAGUUCCAACAAUGGCAAUAAAAUGCGAAGAUAAGUUACCCAACUGUGACGAAUACCUGGAUGUCUGUUCCAAACAUUUGUAUCUGUUGUUCAGAGAGGAAAACUGUCGAAAGUUCUGUGGAAUAUGUAAUGAUGUUGAUUAUGUGUACGCACCAUCAGCGUUUGGAUAAAGAGAUUAAUAAAAUGGAUUAAUAGAUAGUCAUUUUAAAAAAAACCCCAAUAUUCAAUAAAGAAAUUAAAUAUG